UUUAUGGAGAGUUUGAUCCUGGCUCAGGAUGAACGCUGGCGGCGUGCCUAAUACAUGCAAGUCGAGCGAACGGACGAGAAGCUUGCUUCUCUGAUGUUAGCGGCGGACGGGUGAGUAACACGUGGAUAACCUACCUAUAAGACUGGGAUAACUUCGGGAAACCGGAGCUAAUACCGGAUAAUAUUUUGAACCGCAUGGUUCAAAAGUGAAAGACGGUCUUGCUGUCACUUAUAGAUGGAUCCGCGCUGCAUUAGCUAGUUGGUAAGGUAAUGGCUUACCAAGGCAACGAUGCAUAGCCGACCUGAGAGGGUGAUCGGCCACACUGGAACUGAGACACGGUCCAGACUCCUACGGGAGGCAGCAGUAGGGAAUCUUCCGCAAUGGGCGAAAGCCUGACGGAGCAACGCCGCGUGAGUGAUGAAGGUCUUCGGAUCGUAAAACUCUGUUAUUAGGGAAGAAGAUAUGUGUAAGUAACUGUGCACAUCUUGACGGUACCUAAUCAGAAAGCCACGGCUAACUACGUGCCAGCAGCCGCGGUAAUACGUAGGUGGCAAGCGUUAUCCGGAAUUAUUGGGCGUAAAGCGCGCGUAGGCGGUUUUUUAAGUCUGAUGUGAAAGCCCACGGCUCAACCGUGGAGGGUCAUUGGAAACUGGAAAACUUGAGUGCAGAAGAGGAAAGUGGAAUUCCAUGUGUAGCGGUGAAAUGCGCAGAGAUAUGGAGGAACACCAGUGGCGAAGGCGACUUUCUGGUCUGUAACUGACGCUGAUGUGCGAAAGCGUGGGGAUCAAACAGGAUUAGAUACCCUGGUAGUCCACGCCGUAAACGAUGAGUGCUAAGUGUUAGGGGGUUUCCGCCCCUUAGUGCUGCAGCUAACGCAUUAAGCACUCCGCCUGGGGAGUACGACCGCAAGGUUGAAACUCAAAGGAAUUGACGGGGACCCGCACAAGCGGUGGAGCAUGUGGUUUAAUUCGAAGCAACGCGAAGAACCUUACCAAAUCUUGACAUCCUUUGACAACUCUAGAGAUAGAGCCUUCCCCUUCGGGGGACAAAGUGACAGGUGGUGCAUGGUUGUCGUCAGCUCGUGUCGUGAGAUGUUGGGUUAAGUCCCGCAACGAGCGCAACCCUUAAGCUUAGUUGCCAUCAUUAAGUUGGGCACUCUAAGUUGACUGCCGGUGACAAACCGGAGGAAGGUGGGGAUGACGUCAAAUCAUCAUGCCCCUUAUGAUUUGGGCUACACACGUGCUACAAUGGACAAUACAAAGGGCAGCGAAACCGCGAGGUCAAGCAAAUCCCAUAAAGUUGUUCUCAGUUCGGAUUGUAGUCUGCAACUCGACUACAUGAAGCUGGAAUCGCUAGUAAUCGUAGAUCAGCAUGCUACGGUGAAUACGUUCCCGGGUCUUGUACACACCGCCCGUCACACCACGAGAGUUUGUAACACCCGAAGCCGGUGGAGUAACCUUUUAGGAGCUAGCCGUCGAAGGUGGGACAAAUGAUUGGGGUGAAGUCGUAACAAGGUAGCCGUAUCGGAAGGUGCGGCUGGAUCACCUCCUUU
rnacentral:rRNA from 1 species